CCCAUCAGCUCCCUUACCCAUCGGAUCUAAAUCCUGGUUGAGUGGUUUUAAAAGGAUGAAAAGUAAAAUUGAAACUCAAUUAAUUUAUGACACACGAGCUAGUUUAAAACAAAC
rnacentral:snoRNA from 1 species